UUUGAUGAGCCAAUGCAAACAACCCUUCUAGAGGUUUCACUAAAAACGUAAAAUGGUAUGCAGGUGGGUACUUUUGUAGAAAAGAAGUCCUCUUGACAAAUAAGGUACUAAUUAAACAAUAAUUCAGUUUGUGUUACUGUAAAAUCAAACCCCAUUGAUGUUCCUAAUAAGGCCUACAUGAAUAAAACCUACAAGAAUUAGACUCAGCCCCUUCGUGGUCACGGAGGUUGUUGAUUAUAUAUCGUACCUAAAAAG
rnacentral:lncRNA from 1 species